rnacentral:misc_RNA from 1 species
AAGGGAGAAAGGUGUAAAAACUCAGCUAGCGACGAAGAGCCGAGUUUUACUGAGGAUGGUAUUGAUGGUCAUAAUGAGAAUAGUAAGGGGAAGAAGGGAUCGAUGUGGCAUCGGGUGAAAUGGACGGAUAAAAUGGUGAAGCUUUUGAUUACUGCAGUGUCUUAUAUAGGAGAUGAUAUUGCUUCAGAUCUUGAUGGGGGUGGAAGAAGGAAAUGCCA